rnacentral:rRNA from 1 species
GACGAACGCUGGCGGCGUGCCUAACACAUGCAAGUCGACAUGAGUGGCGAACGGGUGAGUAAUACGGGGGUAACCUGCCCUCCUUAUUGGGCUAAGCCUUGCAAACGGGGCCUAAUACCGAAUAAAGGGGGGUGGGCUCGCGGCCUAUCAGCUUGUUGGUGGGGUGAUGGCCUACCAAUGCGGUGACGGGUAGGCGGCCUGAGACGGUGACCGGCAACAUUGGGACGGAGAUACGUCCUAGACUCGUACGGGAGGGAGAAGUGGGGGAUAUGGCACAAAGGGCGACAGCGUGAUGCAGCGUCGCCGCGGGGGGGAUGAAGGUUUUAGGGUUGUAUACCUCUUUCGCAAUCGAACGGGUAGGUGGAGAAGAAGCGCCGGCUAACUACGUGCCAGCAGCCGCGGUAAUAC